rnacentral:rRNA from 1 species
GACGAACGCUGGCGGCGUGCUUAACACAUGCAAGUCGAACGGUGAACCUCUUCGGAGGGGAUCAGUGGCGAACGGGUGAGUAACACGUGGGCAACCUGCCCCCGGCUCUGGGAUAACUCCAAGAAAUUGGGGCUAAUACCGGAUGUUCACCGCUUCCCGCAUGGGUGGUGGUGGAAAGGGUUUCCGGCUGGGGAUGGGCCCGCGGCCUAUCAGCUUGUUGGUGGGGUAGUGGCCUACCAAGGCGACGACGGGUAGCCGGCCUGAGAGGGUGACCGGCCACCCUGGGACUGAGACACGGCCCAGACUCCUACGGGAGGCAGCAGUGGGGAAUAUUGCGCAAUGGGCGGAAGCCUGACGCAGCGACGCCGCGUGGGGGAUGACGGCCUUCGGGUUGUAAACCUCUUUCAGCAGGGACGAAGCGCAAGUGACGGUACCUGCAGAAGAAGCACCGGCCAACUACGUG